AAAUAAGAAGCAAUAUUUGCAAUCAGUUUCGACCUGAUUAUUAGAUAAUUAAUAUCCUUAUUUU
rnacentral:tRNA from 1 species